AUUGAACGCUGGCAGCAUGCCUUACACAUGCAAGUCGAACGGCAGCACGGGGCAACCUGGUGGCGAGUGGCGAACGGGUGAGUAAUGCAUCGGAACGUACCUUUCAGUGGGGGAUAACGUAGCGAAAGUUACGCUAAUACCGCAUAUUCUGUGAGCAGGAAAGCAGGGGAUCGCAAGACCUUGCGCUGAUUGAGCGGCCGAUGUCAGACUAGCUAGUUGGUGAGGUAAAGGCUCACCAAGGCGACGAUCUGUAGCGGGUCUGAGAGGAUGAUCCGCCACACUGGAACUGAGACACGGUCCAGACUCCUACGGGAGGCAGCAGUGGGGAAUUUUGGACAAUGGGGGCAACCCUGAUCCAGCCAUGCCGCGUGAGUGAAGAAGGCCUUCGGGUUGUAAAGCUCUUUCGGCCGGGAAGAAAUCGCACGGGCUAAUACCCUGUGUGGAUGACGGUACCGGAAUAAGAAGCACCGGCUAACUACGUGCCAGCAGCCGCCGUAA
rnacentral:rRNA from 1 species